GGUGAGGGGCGUCAAAGACCUGGAUAAGAUUGACGUUUGCCCCGUUCGCUACCCUCCAAAGCCGCCGCUCGCCAUCGACGCACGCCGCAACCAGGCCGGGGCAAAAGGCCGCCGCCCCAGCUCCGCCCAUCACGACUCCCUCCGAAGCACCGACCACCACCGGAGGAGCCGGCCGGCGGGGCGCCCUCCGAAGCGCCGUACCACCAAUCGGACGUGGAACGCCCAUUGGAGCUGCUGCAACUAGUGAUACCUAUCGAGCUGUUCAAGUGGCUCCUCCGUAAAAAUGGAGGCGGUACAACACAAAGAGAGAGCAGAACUUGCUGCCUCCGUCGCCAAGCCGGCGAGCCACUAGAGCCACACGUAUCUCCUCCCGACACACAGCGCCGCCGUCGGUUGUCCUCUACGUCGCCGAGCUGGAGGAGACACUGGAGUAGAGGUCAACUUUAACUGUUCCGACGGAGGGACUUGAGCGCGGCCGACCUUAGUUAACGCCGGAUCCAUUGAGUCGCGGUGAUCUCGAAGUCCACGGAGUGUUCAGUGUUCUUUAGUUUUCAAGAUAGUAGUUUAAAAUCAGCUGCUCCAUUUAGGACGAUCGGUGCACACAGUACCGCCGCCGCCGAGCGGCGGUGGUAAGGGUAAAGUAGAAACGAGACGUUCCAUUAUCUUCCUCCCGAGAUUACCCUUACUACGAACGGUGGGGGUGGAAGUACUGACGAGGUCUAGGUAAGUUCCACCAGUAGUGACAAUUUAGCAGGUCACUCGAGUCAUGGCAGGAUGAGAGGGAUUUUACGUGUCAACGUCUUUGUUGUAGAUAACACGUGGUUUUUCCUAUUAACGGGUACACAUUUUACUCUAAAUAUAUAGUUUUCAAAAACAGACAACUAUAAAACCGCCAAGAGAAGGGAAGACGUGACGACGACCUUCACUACUCUCUUAAACACGUAUGUCAACACCAGUAAUCAUUUAUAUAGUAAGCUCAACUUUCCAACCUCGCAUACGUAAUUGUAAAAGUUCACCUAUGAAACCGUGAACUAAAAUAUUAGUAAACUUUAGGCUUAUAGUGCAACGUAACACUAUAAAGAUUGACUUUUAAAAGUGAUAAUCAAUACGUAUAAAACCACCUUAAAGAUUGUGACAACAAGAAAGUUCGUAUAUUACAAGAAAUCUUUAAAUUAUCAAGUAUGACC
rnacentral:rRNA from 1 species